ACGGAAGGCAGCAGUGGGGAAUAUUGGGCAAUGGGCGAAAGCCUGACCCAGCGACGCCGCGUGAGGGAAGAAGGUCUUCGGAUUGUAAACCUUAGUCAACAGGGAAGAAGCAAGUGACGGUACCUGUGGAGGAAGCCACGGCUAACUACGUGCCAGCAGCCGCGGUAAUACGUAGGUGGCGAGCGUUAUCCGGAUUUACUGGGUGUAAAGGGUGUGUAGGCGGGGAUGCAAGUCAGGUGUGAAAUCUAUGGGCUUAACCCAUAAACUGCACUUGAAACUGUAUCUCUUGAGUGUCGGAGAGGUAGAUGGAAUUCCUAGUGCAGCGGUGAAAUGCGUAGAUAUUAGGAGGAACACCAGUGGCGAAGGCGAUCUACUGGACGAUAACUGACGCUGAGGCGCGAAAGCGUGGGGAGCAAACAGGAUUAGAUACCCUGGUA
rnacentral:rRNA from 1 species